rnacentral:rRNA from 1 species
UACGGGGGGGCAAGCGUUGUUCGGAAUUACUGGGCGUAAAGGGCUCGUAGGUGGCCAACUAAGUCAGACGUGAAAAUCCCUCGGCUUAACCGGGGGAACUGCGUCUGAUACUGGAUGGCGUUGAGUUUGGGAGAGGGACGCGGAAUUCCAGGUGUAGCGGGUGAAAUGCGUAGAUAUCUGGAGGAACACCGGUGGCGAAGGCGGCGUCCUGGACCAUACUGACACUGAUGAGCGGAAAGCCAAGGGGCAGGCAAACCGGGGAGUUACG